rnacentral:rRNA from 1 species
CCUACGGGAGGCAGCAGUGAGGAAUUUUGCGCAAUAGGGGAAACCCUGACGCAGCAACGCCGCGUGAGUGAAGAAGGCCCUCGGGUCGUAAAGCUCUGUCAAGUGGGAAAAAAGCUUUCUGGUGAAUAGCCAGGAAGACUGAUGGUACCAUUGAAGGAAGCACCGGCUAACUCCGUGCCAGCAGCCGCGGUAAU